GCCAGUGUAGCUUAAUUCAAAGCAUUACUCUGAAGCUGUAAAGAUGAGUCUUAAAAGACUCCACAGGCA
rnacentral:tRNA from 1 species